rnacentral:rRNA from 1 species
UACGUAGGGGGCAAGCGUUGUCCGGAAUCAUUGGGCGUAAAGCGCGUGUAGGCGGCUCGGCAAGUCUGGUGUGAAAACUGGAGGCUCAACCUCCAGCUGUCGCUGGAUACUGCCGGGCUUGAGUCCGGAAGAGGAGAGUGGAAUUCCGGGUGUAGCGGUGAAAUGCGUAGAGAUCCGGAGGAACACCAGUGGCGCAGGCGGCUCUCUGGGUCGGCCCUGACGCUGAGGCGCGAAAGCGUGGGGAGCGAACGGG